rnacentral:rRNA from 1 species
GACGAACGCUGGCGGCGUGCUUAAUACAUGCAAGUCGAACGGAAAGGCCCUGCUCUUGUGGGGUGCUCGAGUGGCGAACGGGUGAGUAACACGUGAGUAACCUGCCCUUGACUUUGGGAUAACUUCAGGAAACUGGGGCUAAUACCGGAUAGGAGCUCCUGCUGCAUGGUGGGGGUUGGAAAGUUUCGGCGGUUGGGGAUGGACUCGCGGCUUAUCAGCUUGUUGGUGGGGUAGUGGCUUACCAAGGCUUUGACGGGUAGCCGGCCUGAGAGGGUGACCGGCCACAUUGGGACUGAGAUACGGCCCAGACUCCUACGGGAGGCAGCAGUGGGGAAUAUUGCACAAUGGGCGGAAGCCUGAUGCAGCAACGCCGCGUGCGGGAUGACGGCCUUCGGGUUGUAAACCGCUUUCGCCUGUGACGAAGCGUGAGUGACGGUAAUGGGUAAAGAAGCACCGGCUAACUACGUG